GCACAGCGAAAGGUGCUUGCACCUUUCAAGUGAGUGGCGAACGGGUGAGUAACACGUGGAUAACCUACCUCAAGGUUGGGGAUAACAUUUGGAAACAGAUGCUAAUACCGAAUAAAACUUCGUAUCGCAUGAUACAAGGUUAAAAGGCGCUACGGCGUCACCUAGAGAUGGAUCCGCGGUGCAUUAGUUAGUUGGUGGGGUAAAGGCCUACCAAGACAAUGAUGCAUAGCCGAGUUGAGAGACUGAUCGGCCACAUUGGGACUGAGACACGGCCCAAACUCCUACGGGAGGCUGCAGUAGGGAAUCUUCCACAAUGGGCGAAAGCCUGAUGGAGCAACGCCGCGUGUGUGAUGAAGGCUUUCGGGUCGUAAAGCACUGUUGUAUGGGAAGAACAGCUAGAGUAGGGAAUGACUUUAGUUUGACGGUACCAUACCAGAAAGGGACGGCUAAAUACGUGCCAGCAGCCGCGGUAAUACGUAUGUCCCGAGCGUUAUCCGGAUUUAUUGGGCGUAAAGCGAGCGCAGACGGUUGAUUAAGUCUGAUGUGAAAGCCCGGAGCUCAACUCCGGAAAGGCAUUGGAAACUGGUCAACUUGAGUGCAGUAGAGGUAAGUGGAACUCCAUGUGUAGCGGUGGAAUGCGUAGAUAUAUGGAAGAACACCAGCGGCGAAGGCGGCUUACUGGACUGUAACUGACGUUGAGGCUCGAAAGUGUGGGUAGCAAACAGGAUUAGAUACCCUGGUAGUCCACACCGUAAACGAUGAACACUAGGUGUUAGGAGGUUUCCGCCUCUUAGUGCCGAAGCUAACGCAUUAAGUGUUCCGCCUGGGAGUACGACCGCAAGGUUGAAACUCAAAGGAAUUGACGGGACCCGCACAAGCGGUGGAGCAUGUGUUUAAUUCGAAGCACGCGA
rnacentral:rRNA from 1 species